GGACUCAAGCUUAAACAUGUCAGUGCUGGUGCAUCGAAUACGGCUUUCCAUAGAAUUCUAUAGAGAUCUAUGAGAUCGAGUAUGGAAUUCUGUUUACUCACUUUAAAUUGAGUAUCCGUUUUCCUCCUUUUCCUGCUAGGAUCGGAAAUCCCGUAUUUUUCAUAUCCAUACGAUCGAGUCCUUAGGUUUUCGAAAUAGUGUAAUGGAAAAAGAAGUGUUUCGAAUCCUAUUUGACUCGGACCUGUUCUGAAAAAGUCGAGGUUAGGCUUUUCCUCGCUCCUCCGGCUAAAUAAUCCCCACGCAUUCCUCCUCUACAGUAGUGCUCCUCUGCACGGCGUCAAUUUUCCUCCUUUAUAUCUCUCGGUCCCCCCAAAUCCCCAUGGCUCCCAGCUGAGCUGCUCCGCCGGACCGCGCGCCCAGGAGUGCGGUGCCGCGGCCCGCGGCCCGCUCUGCAUCCCCCGCCCCGCCGCCGCCUCAGCAUGCUCACCGCCGGUGCCGCCACCGGAGACAGCCGGGGGCCUCCCUGUCGCCUACUACGCCAUCAUGGUCUUAGCAGCCCUUGAGCUCGAAGAGAUUGUGGUUUGAGCAGUCCUUUAUCCGUUUCUUGAUGGGGGUGGCUCCAGGCUUGUGGCUUGUGUCGGGUCAUUGUGUAGAUUUGUUGUGAUGUUCUGUUCGGUUCAGUCGCUGCGCCUUUUCUUCCAAACUUUCAUUUGUUUAUCUGCUUCUCAAU
rnacentral:lncRNA from 1 species